rnacentral:rRNA from 1 species
AGAGUUUGAUCCUGGCUCAGAUUGAACGCUGGCGGCAUGCCUUACACAUGCAAGUCGAACGGUAACAGGGAGCUUGCUCCGCUGACGAGUGGCGAACGGGUGAGUAAAGUAUCGGAACGUACCUUUCAGUGGGGGAUAACGUAGCGAAAGUUACGCUAAUACCGCAUAUUCUGUGAGCAGGAAAGCAGGGGAUCGCAAGACCUUGCGCUGAUUGAGCGGCCGAUAUCAGAUUAGCUAGUUGGUGAGGUAAAGGCUCACCAAGGCGACGAUCUGUAGCGGGUCUGAGAGGAUGAUCCGCCACACUGGAACUGAGACACGGUCCAGACUCCUACGGGAGGCAGCAGUGGGGAAUUUUGGAUAAUGGGGGCAACCCUGAUCCAGCCAUGCCGCGUGAGUGAAGAAGGCCUUCGGGUUGUAAAGCUCUUUCGGCCGGGAAGAAAUCGCAUGGGUUAAUACCCUGUGCGGAUGACGGUACCGGCAUAAGAAGCACCGGCUAACUACGUGCCAGCAGCCGCGGUAAUACGUAGGGUGCGAGCGUUAAUCGGAAUUACUGGGCGUAAAGCGUGCGCAGGCGGUUUUGUAAGACAGGCGUGAAAUCCCCGGGCUCAACCUGGGAACUGCGCUUGUGACUGCAAGGCUAGAGUAUGGCAGAGGGGGGUGGAAUUCCACGUGUAGCAGUGAAAUGCGUAGAGAUGUGGAGGAACACCAAUGGCGAAGGCAGCCCCCUGGGCCAAUACUGACGCUCAUGCACGAAAGCGUGGGUAGCAAACAGGAUUAGAUACCCUGGUAGUCCACGCCCUAAACGAUGUCAACUAGGUGUUGGGUGGGUAAAACCAUUUAGUACCGGAGCUAACGCGUGAAGUUGACCGCCUGGGGAGUACGGCCGCAAGGUUAAAACUCAAAGGAAUUGACGG